GUCAGUAUAUUUACAUUUGGUGUAUAGUAAUGGUGUUAGAAAAUCACUGUUUUCCGGUUGUAAUUUGUUUUAAAAGUCUUAUUGACCGAUCGCGAAUCAUGCCCAGUGUAUGUGCAGCGUACAAUUGCGCUAAUAGAAGUGAUAAAACAACUGGAAUAUCAUAUUUCAGAUUUCCUCUGAAAAAGAAAGAGUUGUCAAGUCGGUGGGUAGCCAAUAUGAGGCGAGAUAAGUGGCAGCCACCUCAAUAUAGCUACAUAUGCUUGUUUCACUUUGAAGAUACAUGUAUAAGGCGACUUCUGGCAAACGCAGUACCGACAAUAUUUUCGUUUCCUGACCACCUGCAGAAAACAACUGUAGUAUAGAGACAACCAAGGAAGUGGCCUGUCAAUGAAGAAUCAGUUUCUUAUCAAAUGAACCAGGUGAAAGAGGGAAUCAGAAUAAUCAUACAGAUCAUUCUUACUCUUUGCCUAGCCCCAAAAUACUGAAACAGAAUUAUGAAGCACUACAGAAAAGGACUGAGAAGCUGAGGAAGCAAGCUAAACCUGCAAG